UUUGAACCUCCUUCUGUGUUGCUUUGAGGUCCAUUUCAUCUCUCCUCAGUGUUGGGUGAAAUCCAGGGCAGUCAUCUUCACAACGGCAAUCAUCCCACGCCACGCUUGUUGUUCAUGAAUCAGAUAUUCCCAAAUCAAAUCUUUCAGUUUGCUAAACGGUACGAUUUCUUCUCUUCCAGCUGGGUGUCCCCAAACGGUCUGAUUUCUUCCCUUCCUUCAGGUUCCAGCUGGGUUUUCCGAUAUCCCCAAACGGUCCGAUUUCCAGCUGGGUGUCCGGUGUCCCCAAACGGUUCGAUUUCUUCUAUUCCUUCAUGCUCCAACUGGGUGUCCCCAAACUGUCCGAUUUCCAGCUGGGUGGUGUCCCCAAACGGUCCGAUUUCUUCCUUCAUGCUCCAGCUGGUGUUCCCCAAACGGUCUGAUUUCAUCUUGGCUUGGCGAGCACGUUUCACUGCUCUCCAACGCAACGGCUCAAGAAUCUUGACAUUCCUCUCGUCUCGCUCUAUUUAAACCCUUCGACUCGACUAACAUCGACAGUAGCUCUUCUCUUAUUCUGCCAGGUCCUUCUCUAACUCCGCCCCCUCUCCCUCCAUCUCCUAUUUAUCUGCCCCGUUCAUCUUCUGAUCACAAUCUCCAGUUCAUCGUCUCUUCUCUCAAUACCACCCCCGGGGAACGAGCAGACCACCCAGCAACUUCUGUGGCCUACUGGAUUUGUUUUAAACCUCGUAAUUGACAUCCCACCGGAAUUGCUACACAAGUGGGAGAAGUGCAAAUUGUGAAACUGUGUGGGGUUACUCCACCUGGGAUUGAGUAAUCCCUUUGCUCGGCCUGAUUUGAUGAGAGAUUUCAAAUCCUUACUGGGAACGAUCAGACCACCCAGCAACUUCUGUGGCCUACUGGAUUUGUUUUAAACCUCGUAAUUGACAUCCCACCAGAGUUGCUACACAAGUGGGAGAAGUGCAAAAAUAUUGUGAAACUGUGGUGCGUUUUGAUUAUUGCAUGGAGGAACAGGACAAAUCAGAUAUUCACUGCCUUUUCUACAUUUUAUGCAGCUUGCAUUGUCAGUGGGGUUACUCCACCUGGGAUUGAGUAAUCCCUUUGCUUGGCCUGAUUGGAUGAGAGAUGUCAAAUCCUUACUCUUGAGUAAUUGUGUGGAGCGGUUGAUGAGAGAUUUCAAAUCCUUACUGUGAGUAAAAUUGUGUGGAGCGGAAAUGAUCCCUUCUGCACUUAUUUUAGACUUUCAGCAUGGUGUAUCUUAUAAUCAACAUAACAUUGCAUGAAAAGUCAUAGUUUCAUUGCUUUUGUUUGGGUAUUUCCCUUGCUUGAAUUUUCCAAGGCACUCAUUGGGUCUUUCAUAUAUUGUAUCAAAUUGCGUUUGAGACAAUGUUAGCUGUUAGUGUAUUUUUCUGCCUUUUCUUUUAAUUUUCAAUGGGGGGUUACCCCUCCUGUGUUUGAGUAAUCUCUUUACUCCUUUUGGUUUGAUGAGGGACUUCAUCUCCCUAGUAUGAGCAAUUGUUUGUUGUGCGAUUAUGUAUUUUAUAAAUAUUUUGGAAUUUCAGCAUGCAUAUCUUAUAAUGUUGACAUAACUUUGAAUCAGAAGUCGUGACUUGGUUCCUGUUGAGGCAAUGUUUGUUGCUCUUGUAUUUUGUAUGUUUUUAUUUUCCUUCCUUCCUUCAUUCUUUCUUUUCUAUUUUCCUUUUUUUUGUUUUGAAGGAAAUUGAAAUUGCUUCACCUGUGAUUAAUUAAUCCUGUACAUGUUCUGAUUUGAUGGGGAACUUAUUUUUUUUCGUUGGUGUGUACUUUUGUGUUAUGGCAAUUUUCUCGCUGUUGUUUGGUUAUUCUUCUUGCUUGAAGGUUGUGUGUUUAGUCAUUGGUUCUUUUAUAUAUUGGGUAAAGCUGUGUCACUUUUCUGCUUCCCAAUUUCAUUCGAUGUUAGCUAUCUGGAAGAGCUCAGGUUGCAGGGCCUUUUGAGUUUUUAUGUUCUAAGAAUCUGGAAUUUUUUUAGCUUUCCAUCUGCCGUUGUUUGUGCGGAUUGGGCUGAGCUGUUGAGAUAUGGUUUCUGUUACUAUAUUGUUUAGCUUUUCUGCUUGCAGUUAUUGUAUUUUAUGUGUUUUUUCUUUGUUUUCAAUGGUGUUACUUCACCUGAGAUUGAGUGAUCCCUUUGCUUGUCCUGAUUUGAUGAGAGAUUUCAAUUACUUACUGUGAGUAAUUGUGUGGAGCGGAAAUAAUCCCUUCUGCAUAUGUUUUAUACUUUCAGCUUAGUGUAUGUUAUAAUCAACAUGACAUUGCAUGAAAAGUCAUAGUUUCAUUUCUUUUGUUUGGGUAUUUCUUUUGCUUGAAUUUUCCAAGGCACUCAUUGGGUCUUUUAUAUAUUGGGCCAAAUUGUGUUUUGAGUCGAUGUUAGCUGUUACUGUAUUUUUUCUGCCGUUUCUUUUAAUUUCCAAUGGGGGUUACCCCUCCUGUGUUUGAGUAAUCUCUAUAUUACUUUUGAUUUGAUGAGGGACUUCAUCUCCCUAGUGUGAGCAAUUGCAUGUUUUUCAAUUAUCUAUUUUACAAAUAUUUUGGAAUUUCAGCAUGGCAUAUCUUAUAAUGUUGACAUAACUUUGAAUCAGAAGUCGUAACUUUGUCGCUGUUGAGGCAACAUUUGUUGCUAUUGUAUUUUGUAUGUUUUCCAUUUCUUUCUUUCAUUCAUUCUUUCUUCUCUAUUUUUUUUUUGUGAAGGAAAUGGAGAUUACUCCACCUGUGAUUUAUUAAUCCUGUACAUGUUCUGAUUUGAUGAGGGAGUUCUUUUUUUCCUUUGGCGUGUACAAUUUUAGUUGUGGCAAUUUUCUCGCUGUUGUUUGGUUAUUCUUCUUGCUUGAAGGUUGUGUGUUUAGUCUUUGGUUCUUUUAUAUAUUGGGUAAAGCUGUGUCACUUUUCUGCUUCGAAAUUUCAUUUGAUGUUAGCGAACUGGAAGAGCUCAAGUUGCAGGGCCUUUUGAGUUUUUAUGUUCUAAGAAUCUAGAAUUUGUUUAGCUUUCCAUCUGCUGUUGUUUGUGCAGCUUGGGCUGAGCUGUUGAGAUAAUGGUUUCUGUUACUAUAUUGUUUAGCUUUUCUGCUUGCAGUUAUUGUAUUUUAUGUGUUUUUUUUAUUUGUCUGCAAUGGGGUACUCCACCUGGGAUUGAGUGAUCCCUUUGCUUGCCCUGAUUCGAUGAGAGAUUUCAUUUCCUUAUUGUGAGUAAUUUUGUGGAGCGGAAAUAAUCCCUUCUGCACAUAUUUUGACUUGUGAGAAAUAUCAUAUACUGUUGGAACUUGUGUAUAGGUUUUCAUAGUUUCAUUGCUGUUGUUUGGAGGUUCCAUUGCACCUAUUGGUUCCUUAACAUUCUUUAUAAGUUCGGCCAAACUAUAAUACUUUCUGCUUCACGUUUUCGUAGUAUGCCAGUCAAUUAUAGGACCUCAAAUUACACAUUGUUUAUUGAGUUCAUAUUUUCUGUGAACUGUUGUUUAAAGCUUGCUAUUAACAAUGUUUUUGUGUGUGUUCUAUUGCAAUGGGGGUAACUCAACUUGGAUGGAGUCAUCGCUUUGCUUUGGCCUGACUUGAUUUCUCGGAUGGAAACAAUUGUUUGGAAUGACAAUACUCUCGUACUGCGGAUUAUUAUCCUUAUCGCUAUCUACCUUGUGCACUAGCUUGCAAUUUUGACAUUUGAGCAACACCAGGCAAUCCUGCAAUUUCUUUGAGUGGCUUCCACACAAAUUUUCUCCUGUUGGAAGAAGUGAUAAAAAAGAGACAGCAAAAUGGCAAAGAAUUGCAUCAAAUUCUGCUGUUUGUUUGCUAAGGAACAAAAAGGGGAUAAUUGAUUUUACCAGUUCCCGCAUUCUGCAACGACCCGGACGUUAGGCCGGAGACUGGGAAGCAAAGCUAGAAACUGCAGCUCUGCCCUGGACAAAACCUGAAUCAAUUUGCAAAGAGACGUGGCAGGCAAAGCCAAAUCAUCAUCGGGCAAUGAAUUUGCAAAGAGACGUGGCAGGCAAAGCCAAAUCAUCAUCAGGCAAUGGGAGUAAUUAAUUAAAUGGUGAAUCGGUACGCUAGCAUUGAUAUCAUAUAUAUCACACCUUGGCUUCAAUUAUCCAAACCACUAAGCCCUUGGCACCCGGAGGCAGCAACGAGAGCCUGUAAUCCACUUCGGGUGGGAAAUACCACCUCGCUAUUGGUUGCUUCCCCACGUGGGCCUGCGAAAGUGUAAGAUUAAUUCUAAGUCACGUUAUGCAGAAUUUUUACGUUUUUCUUGUAUUAGGGACGCUCACCGGGCAAACGGGGUGGAUCUUGGUGAGAGUGGUCUCGGGAUCGCCGAGGCCGCGCGCGGAGAGGUCGAGGAAUUGGUAGCCCUGGUACCGGAGCCGGGUAAGGUAGCGGCCCUCGUAGCCUCCUUCGUGGGGAGAGUAGAUGGCCAGGGCCUUGUGCUCUUCGACGUCUGACAGCCACUGGCCCAAAUCGAACUUCACCAAGUCUCCUCCGAUGAAGUCCUCGAGUCCAGUGGCACAGGUCGUCCUCAGCGCCCUCUUCUUGCUCCACCGGCCUGCUAGUCGUGGCUUCGUUGCGGGGUAGAAUGGCGAGAGCUGUUGCUUUGGGAGAGUUGUGAUGGGAGGCAGCAGCGCGCUUGUAGCGGCCAUUUCAGUCGGUCUUGGCCGGUUUUUAUCCACAGAUAGAGGGUGAAAGAAAUGGCCAUCACAAAGGCUAAAAGCGGAGGUUUUGGGUUAAGUGAUAGCUGGAGCUGGGAUAUGAGGUUGAUGGUGGAGAAAGAAGAUAAGAGGCUGACGCUGAAAUCGCACGUGGAACUGUGAUAAGGCAACGUGCUUAAUGGUGUGCUACGUCUCAAGAGGGCGUGGAGUGUGGUCUAAGUAGACCCUGUGGGACUUGUCCCGUUUUAAUAUGGAAUGAAAAUCAAUGGUAAUUUUAGAGUAUGUAGUGGGUAUGGGUAUUCGACCAAUUAGAGGUGUAGAGCAUUUUUUAUUUAUUUAUAUGACACCUCGAUAUUGAUGUAUCGUUUCAUUUAUUUUUACACUCUAUGUCUUAAAGAUUAAUACCUAAAAUGUAAUAUAACAAUCUCUAUAAAUCAAAUACUACUUUUACCCUU